UGUGAAGUAGUUUAUUAAAAAUACUUGUUUUACACUCAAGUGAACUCUUUGUUGAGCUUUACUA
rnacentral:tRNA from 1 species